rnacentral:rRNA from 1 species
UCCAGACUCCUACGGGAGGCAGCAGUGAGGAAUAUUGGUCAAUGGUCGGGAGACUGAACCAGCCAAGCCGCGUGAGGGAUGAAGGUACAGAGUAUCGUAAACCUCUUUUGUCAGGGAACAAAGGCGGGGACGCGUCCCCGGAUGAGUGUACCUGAAGAAAGAGCAUCGGCUAACUCCGUGCCAGCAGCCGCGGUAAUACGGAGGAUGCGAGCGUUAUCCGGAUUUAUUGGGUUUAAAGGGUGCGCAGGCGGUCUGUUAAGUCAGCGGUCAAAGCCCGGGGCUCAACCCCGUCGUGCCGUUGAAACUGACACCCUUGAGUGAGUGAGAAGUAAGCGGAAUUCGUGGUGUAGCGGUGAAAUGCUUAGAUAUCACGAAGAACUCCGAUUGCGAAGGCAGCCUACUAAACUGCCACUGACAUUGAUGCUCGAAAGUGUGGGUAUCAAACAGGAUUAGAUACCCGGGUA